UGCGCAGUCACCCCUGUAUACCCUCCCGCCAGCCCUAAGCAACCACUACCCUACUCUCUGUCUCUGUGGAUUUGUCUAUUUUGGACAUUCUUCCUAAAUGGAAUCCUACAAUAUGUGGUCUUUGGUGACUGGCUCCUUUCACCUAGCCUUCUGUUAGCUUUUUGCCAGUGGGACCAUUAAAAUUGAAGCGCUGCUGUUGGCAACCUCUCUGCUGGGCAAGGCACCCUGUGGUGAACCCAGACAAGGACGGUCACUGCCCCUACGCAGGUUCAGGUCCUGGUAGAGAAGACCCACCACCAACAGCCACAAAACACGGAGAAUCAGAGGGUCCCUCCAAACCAACUUCAAUAUCCAAUGCUGGGGCUGCUCUGUCCUGGACUCUUCACAAAUGUCAAAGUCACGAAAGAUAAGAGAGACCAUUCCAGGUUGAAGAGAUUACAGAGACACAACCACCGAAGGCAACAUUAGACCAGAAAAAGGACGUUAGUGGGUCAACUGGUGAAACCCGAAUAAGGCUGAUAGAUUAGACACGACAGCACUGGUGUCACUGAUCUCCAGAUGGAGGGAGCCAUAAUGCAGUUUGUAAGGGAAGGUCCUUCUUAGGAAAUGCUCACUGAAGCACUGGGGACAAAAGGGCAUCAUGUCUGCAACUUACUCUCAAAGGGUCCAGAGAAAAGUAAUAACGUGUAUAUAAAUUAAAAAUGAUUAAACAAAUGUG